rnacentral:rRNA from 1 species
ACUAGUGGCGGACGGGUGAGUAAUGUCUGGGAAACUGCCUGAUGGAGGGGGAUAACUACUGGAAACGGUAGCUAAUACCGCAUAACGUCGCAAGACCAAAGAGGGGGACCUUCGGGCCUCUUGCCAUCGGAUGUGCCCAGAUGGGAUUAGCUAGUAGGUGGGGUAACGGCUCACCUAGGCGACGAUCCCUAGCUGGUCUGAGAGGAUGACCAGCCACACUGGAACUGAGACACGGUCCAGACUCCUACGGGAGGCAGCAGUGGGGAAUAUUGCACAAUGGGCGCAAGCCUGAUGCAGCCAUGCCGCGUGUAUGAAGAAGGCCUUCGGGUUGUAAAGUACUUUCAGCGGGGAGGAAGGGAGUAAAGUUAAUACCUUUACUCAUUGACGUUUACCCGCAGAAGAAGCACCGGCUAACUCCCGUGCCAGCAGCCGCGGUAAUACGGAGGGUGCAAGCGUUUAAUCGGAAUUACUGGGCGUAAAGCGCACGCAGGCGGUUUGUUAAGUCAGAUGUGAAAUCCCCGGGCUCAACCCUGGGAACUGCAUCUGAUACUGGCAAGCUUUGAGUCUCCGUAA